AUUGAACGCUGGCGGCAUGCCUUACACAUGCAAGUCGAACGGCAGCACGGACUUCGGUCUGGUGGCGAGUGGCGAACGGGUGAGUAAUGUAUCGGAACGUACCUUUCAGUGGGGGAUAACGUAGCGAAAGUUACGCUAAUACCGCAUAUUCUGUGAGCAGGCAAGCAGGGGAUCGAAAGACCUUGCGCUGAUUGAGCGGCCGAUAUCAGAUUAGCUAGUUGGUGGGGUAAAGGCCUACCAAGGCGACGAUCUGUAGCGGGUCUGAGAGGAUGAUCCGCCACACUGGAACUGAGACACGGUCCAGACUCCUACGGGAGGCAGCAGUGGGGAAUGUUGGACAAUGGGGGCAACCCUGAUCCAGCCAUGCCGCGUGAGUGAAGAAGGCCUUCGGGUUGUAAAGCUCUUUCGGCCGGGAAGAAAUCGCAUAGGCUAAUACCCUGUGUGGAUGACGGUACCGGAAUAAGAAGCACCGGCUAACUACGUG
rnacentral:rRNA from 1 species